rnacentral:rRNA from 1 species
UUCGUAGUGAACUGCGGARGGAUCAUUGUCGAAACCUGCCUAGCAGAACGACCCGCGAACAAGUGAAAAAAACACCGGCGGUGCGGGGGUGCGUCAGCUCCCCGCUCGCCACGUCGCGGGCGGUGCGGUCGGCUUCUCGUCCGCGAGCGUCGUUCCGUUCCCCCCGCGGCACAACAACGAACCCCGGCGCGGACCGCGCCAAGGAAAUUCUAACGAGAGAGCUCGCUCCCGUCGCCCCGGAGACGGUGCGCGCGCGGGCAGCGGCGCCUUCUUUCACGAUCCAAAACGACUCUCGGCAACGGAUAUCUAGGCUCUCGCAUCGAUGAAGAACGUAGCGAAAUGCGAUACUUGGUGUGAAUUGCAGAAUCCCGUGAACCAUCGAGUCUUUGAACGCAAGUUGCGCCCCAAGCCUUUAGGCCGAGGGCACGUCUGCCUGGGUGUCACGCAUCGUCGCCCCCCCCAACCCCCCGCACCCCGGGGAGGAACGCGGGCGGGGCGGAGAAUGGCCUCCCGUGCGCCGCUCGGCUCGCGGUUGGCCCAAAUCCGAGUCCCCGGCUUCGCGUGCCGCGACUUUCGGUGGUCGAAACGAACCUCGAUGUCCCGUCGCGCCCGCGUCGUCGUAGCACGGACUCACGGACCCUGACGCGUCGCCAUGCCGCGACGCUCGCUUCGCGA